GGAAACUUGUUUUUGUAGUGGCAGAAAAUUGGAUAGGGAGUGUAAAAAGAUUUACUGCCUGCCCUGCAUUGCUUACUUGCUGUAUUUUUCAGAAGUUAUAGAAGGAGGUGAAGGUGAAGAGUGUUAAGACAGGAUGAAGAAAGAGAUCUGUUACUACCAGAGGAACAGGAAGAAAAUUACCUCCAAGAAGCAGUUGAAUGCAGAAUUUUUAAAGGUCCAGAAAGGUUAUGUCAGAUAGGAUUGCCACACAACUAUAAUGGAUGCACCCUUCUAGAUGAAAAUAAAUAGGUCCAGGCCACUUGGAAUGAAUAUAGAAAGGGUGGCAGAUUAAGUAAAAAUAAGACAAAGAAGGCCGAAGUCCAUCUGGAAUUAAUUGUGGCCAUGGAUGUCAAGGACAACAGGAAAGAUACAUCAAUAACAAAAGGAAAAUUAAGGAUAACAUGGACCUGUUGGCCAAUGGAGGGCCCUGAUAACAGAGGCACUGAAUGCCUUCUUUGCUUCGGUCUUCACUGACAAGAUCAUCAGCCAUCAGGAAACCCUGACCUGGGAGCCAGGGGUAAGGGAAUGUUGGAAGACUUACCCCUGGCUGAAGAAGAUUGGGCUAGAGGAUAUCCACCAGUCCAUGGGCCCAGACAGGAUGCAUCCAUGGGUGCUGAGAGAGCUAGCAGAUACCAUACCAGGCCACUCACCAUCAUCUUUGUGGUGAUCAGGAGAGGUGCCUGAAGGAUUGGAAGAAAGUGAAUGUCACCUCAGCCUUCAGAAAUGGCAAGAAAGAGAACCCAAGGAACUACUGGCCAUUCAGCCUCACCUUAGUCCCUGGAAAGGGAAAAAGUACCUCAUUCUGGAGUCCUGCUGGAAAGCAGCUCUGUAGAGAAGGACCUGGGAGCCCUGGUGGACAACAAGAUGUCCAUGAGCCAGCAUUGCGUCCUUGUGACCGAAGGCCAAUGGUAUCCUGGGGUGCAUUAGGAAAAGCACUGCCAGGAGGUCAAGGGAGGUGAUCUUGCCCCUCUACUCUACUCAGGUGAGGCCAAAUCUGGAGUGCUAUGUCCAGUUCUGGUCUCCUCAGUAGAAGAUGGACAGGGACCUCCUGGAGUGGGUCCAGCAAUGGGCUACGAAGAUGAUGAUGAAGAGGGGAUUGAAACAUCUCUCUUACGAGGAAAGACUUGAGGGAGCUGGGCCUGUUCAGCCUCAAGAAGAGACAACUGAGAGGGGACCUCAUCAAUGUGUUUAAGUGUCUGAAGGGAGGGUACCGAGAGGAUGGAGCCAGUCUCCUCUCUGGGGUGCCAGAACAAUAGGACAAGAGACAAUGGGCAGAAACUGAUGCACGGCAAGUUCCAGCAGAACAAAAGGAAAAAAAACUUCUUUACUCUGUGGGUGGGUGUGCACUGUACCAGUUGUCAGAGAAGUUGUGAAAUCUCCUUCACUGGAGAUAUUUAAGAACCACCUGAAUGCAAUCCUGCGCCAUGUGCUCUAGGAUGACUCUCCUUGAACAUUAAGGUUGGACCAAAUGAUCCACUGUGGUCCCUUGCGACCUGACCCAUUCUGUGACUCUGAAAUUAUUUGUGUGUCAUUAAUGAUUCUCACGUAGAUAUUUGAUGUCUGAUCAUUUUACUUUCUGAUAUUUUACUGCUUCAUUUUGUUCCUAAUUGAGACUUUCUAUUGUCCUAGAGGAAGGCUAGGGGACAUGACAUAAGUAACAGACUGAUCCACUGGGUUUUCUGUAUUCAUGAGCCUCCACUUCCAUGAAGAGGAACUGGAAAUCCUUUUCACCAGGGGUUAAUGUAUGAGGCUCAGAGUGGAUGAAGUUUGUGUGCUCUUUUUAAUAAGCCCUGCUUUUCUUUGCAUAGACACUCAAACUGCCUGAAUUAGAGAGCUGCCUGAAGGGACAGGUAUUAUGAAAAGAGCUGCCAAAGCCUCUGUGUGUCAGUGGGAAGCCCCUGAUUAUCACAAGACGAUCUAAAUGGAAAGGUGACAUUCAAAAGACCAUUAAGAUAAAAGCCAGGAUAGAUUUCCUUCCAACCUCACUUAGUAUAACUUUAAUUUAAAAUCCCCUUUCCUGAGAGAACAUGUGAUUUCAUAUACACAGCAUAUUCCUUAAUUGGGUACAGUCAGCUGCUUCAGAAAGCAAUUGCUUAGCCAGAGUGAGAUUAAUUGCAGAGGUAAUAAGAAUGCCAAUAUAUAUGACAAAUAUGUAUUUCUAAUCUUUCAGCCGUGAAAGCCAAGUGGAAAACAUAGUACCAGCUACUUCCAGAUGGCUUUCCAGGAGAACAAGCACAGAUAUGGGUUGUCUCUGUCUUGCAAUGGAGGAUCAGGGAUCCACCAAACCUGCAACAGGUACAGAGCCAGACCCACCGUGUAUCACAUUAUGCCUUCAAUCGGAUCCUGCUGUGAGCGGUUGCAGUGAGCUGCCCUGGACCCUGGCUUUCACCCAACUUCUUGGCUCACCACCAUGUUAAGGCUGCCUGAAACUCAUCACCUGGCUGAGAAGCUUUUCAAAGAAGCUAUUUUAGCUUUCGGGAGUUUAAAUACUUAUAUUAAAUUCUCACUAUAGCAGGCUUUGAUUUUGCUGACCACACUUCAGCAAAGUCUCUCUUUCUGUGCAUGACUAAUAUUUAGCCCAGAUGGGAGAGGUUUGUCUUCAGAGGGAUUUGAGCAAGAAGCAUAAGAUGAAGCAAACUUGGCAAACAAUCCCAUCCACUAUCAAGUUAUCAGGGUUGCUCUGGGGAAGGUAGAGGAGGGUGACUGAGUUUUGCAGGAAAUCAGUGGUAGAACCCAUCACAGGCCAGCCCUGCCUCUUCAAUUGCCAUAAGAGUGCAACUUUUUUCCAUCAUCUCCUGUAAUAAAUUGGCUUAUUUAGUCUGGCUCCAGAAAACAUUGAUGAUGCAUCUCUUUUACAAGGCAAAGUAAAAAAGUACUUUUAAAUUUCUCUCACACACUAUUUCAGAAUAUUGUUUUGUGUCUGAUAUGUCUGGAUUUAGCAGAGUUCAAAAGCAGUCUCAGUCCUCAUGUUUUUUUUCCUGUUCUUCAUAGAUCUGUCUGGCAAACUGCCCUAAAAUUGCCAGAGCUGGUUGUAGAUACAGGUAUACCUCUCUGCUACCUGCUAUUCUGUGAAGACUUUUUGUUUCCUGCUUGGAAACAAUCAUGCUAACAGCCAGCUCCGAGGAGUUGAGGAUGAAAAUAGCCUGAGUCUGCCUUCCUGCUGGACCACAACUGUUAUCUCUCAUUCACUCACUAUCGCUUUGUCCAACUUAAUUUUAAAUGUACCAAGCAGUAGAGUUCUGUCACAUUACUUUUGAGAGAUAAUUUUGUAUACCUCACUGCCAAGAAGUCCCUCCUCAAACUCCACAUUUUCCCUUCCUGUCUUUACCCUUGAAUGCUAAUUCUGUCCUGGUAUAUUUUGCUAAUUGUGUCCUUGCUCUUCAUAAUAGAUAAACCCUCUCAGGUCUUUCCUGUCAUCACUUGACUGUGCUACAAGCAUUAACCCCUUGAGCCUUAGUCUUCUGUUUGUGAGCGAUUCAAGUUUUGCCAGCAGCUUAGGAGACAACACCACAAAUCUUCAAACCUGCCUCAUAGGCAGAGUGGUGGAAAUUAUUCUUUGAACCACCACAGUAAAAAAAAGGAAAAAAAGUCAGCACAAACAGAGAAAGUUGCUUCCUUUGGAGAAAUAACAUGUCAUCAAUGUUAUUUUUGAUGAGAAACUGAAAAAUAAAGCUGCUUUGUUUUUAGCAGUCCACCUCGACCUUUUUUGCAGUCAUUCAUUGCAUUCAGCUUAGUUUGUUCAUCUACCUCUAACUUCCAGCUACAUUAGCUAAUGAAAGGUUGCUUAGCCAGGUGGAUUUUUAAAUGCUUGCAGCAUCUGAAAGUAAGGUUAAUAGUCCAAAUACUCUAGCAUUUGAAGAUGCUUACGGCAUGAAUGCUUUCCUUUGCAUUUUUGUUGCUUUAGAAGACACAGUAGAUAAUUGUAAAUACUUUGAGGUCGAGCUUUUGGCAUGUGUUGGAAGACAUCCCUGCAAUGGUGCAUGUGCUGUGGGUGAAGGGCACCAGUGGUCUCAGGAUCCAGGAGUUCCUCUUAAACACUCACUGCAGCAGCUGGUUGAGAGAGUUGGUCUUUACCUACGAAUCUGCUUAUUCAAACAGAAUCCCCUAAAUUGCUGUAGGGGAAGAACAGAGGGUUUGGGGGUAUUUAAAAGUUCAUCUUCCAUGAAUGACUGUGGUACAACACCAGUUGUUGUCUGCAUGGAGAUAGAUUCCUUUUGUCACCGAUUGUUCACCCUUACCUUGUUCUUAAUAUGAGUAUUUUGUGAUCUGCUCUUCUCUUUCAAUAAAACACCUUCCCUUCUGGAACCCUCUCAGUCUUUCUGUUGCUUCCCAGCUAGGAUACCCAUAUUCUUGACAAACCCUGACCUUGCAUGGUACAGAGAUACCUGCUUCAGUAAAAUCUGCAAAUGUGGAUACUGGCACAUGGAAUAGAUUACAAAGGUCA